UGGGUAGUAGUUCAAUAGGUAGAACACUUCUCCCCAAAAGAAGUAGUUGUGGGUUCGACUCCUUCCUGCUCAGC
rnacentral:tRNA from 1 species